UACGGAGGGGGCUAGCGUUGUUCGGAAUUACUGGGCGUAAAGCGCACGUAGGCGGCUUUGUAAGUUAGAGGUGAAAGCCCGGGGCUCAACUCCGGAAUUGCCUUUAAGACUGCAUCGCUAGAAUUGUGGAGAGGUAAGUGGAAUUCCGAGUGUAGAGGUGAAAUUCGUAGAUAUCGGGAGGAACACCGGUGGCGAAGGCAGCGAUCUGGGUAGAUACUGACGCUGAGGUGCGAAAGCGUGGGGAGCAAACAGG
rnacentral:rRNA from 1 species